rnacentral:rRNA from 1 species
CUGGAGCUUGCUCCGGCCGAUUUAGUGGCGGACGGGUGAGUAACGCGUGGGUAACCUGCCUCAUACAGGGGGAUAGCAGUUGGAAACGACUGGUAAAACCGCAUAAGCGCACGGUGUCGCAUGACACAGUGUGAAAACACUCCGGUGGUAUGAGAUGGACCCGCGUCUGAUUAGCUAGUUGGUGAGGUAACGGCCCACCAAGGCGACGAUCAGUAGCCGGCCUGAGAGGGUGAACGGCCACAUUGGGACUGAGACACGGCCCAAACUCCUACGGGAGGCAGCAGUGGGGAAUAUUGCACAAUGGGGGAAACCCUGAUGCAGCGACGCCGCGUGAGUGAUGAAGUAUUUCGGUAUGUAAAGCUCUAUCAGCAGGGAAGAUAAUGACGGUACCUGACUAAGAAGCACCGGCUAAAUACGUGCCAGCAGCCGCGGUAAUACGUAUGGUGCAAGCGUUAUCCGGAUUUACUGGGUGUAAAGGGUGCGUAGGUGGCAAGGCAAGUCUGAAGUGAAAAUCCGGGGCUCAACCCCGGAACUGCUUUGGAAACUGUUUAGCUGGAGUACAGGAGAGGUAAGUGGAAUUCCUAGUGUAGCGGUGAAAUGCGUAGAUAUUAGGAGGAACACCAGUGGCGAAGGCGACUUACUGGACUG